UACGUAGGGGCUAGCGUUAUCCGGAAUUACUGGGCGUAAAGGGUGCGUAGGUGGUUUCUUAAGUCAGAGGUGAAAGGCUACGGCUCAACCGUAGUAAGCCCUUGAAACUGGGAAACUUGAGUGCAGGAGAGGAGAGUGGAAUUCCUAGUGUAGCGGUGAAAUGCGUAGAUAUUGGGAGGAACACCAGUUGCGAAGGCGGCUCUCUGGACUGUAACUAACACUGAGGCACGAAAGCGUGGGGAGCAAACAGGAUUAGAUACCCCUGUAGUCCCUGAGCGGG
rnacentral:rRNA from 1 species